CCGCAGGCCAUGCACUUCAAACUCAAAACUGAAAACACACACGACAAGGAAUGCUUAGAUGAAGAUGAAUGAGGCUCAAAGCGAUAAAUUGAUAUGGAACAUCAUUUUAUUCUCUGUUUUACUGCACUUGUGGCGAAUCUAACAUGAUUUACGACGAUGGCUUCGCCUUACAGUUGCUCGCUGCAAUCGAAAGGAUGUGGAUUAAAAAAAAGUAUUUUGCGAUGAAAUCACUUACCGGAUGGAAACGCAACGGAGAUAAGUAUGGCAGCAACAAACCACAGCUUCAUCUUGAAGGGCUUGAUGUUUCCUUAAGAGUCAAAAAACUGAAGAUUGGAGGCGUAGUGUCAAAGCGUCGACGAGCGGGCUGAACU